rnacentral:sRNA from 1 species
GCCGGGUGUGGUGGCAGGCACCUGUAAUCCCAGCUACUUGGGAGGCUGAGGCAGGAGAAUCGCCUGAACCCGGGAGGAAGAGGUUGCAGUGAGCCAAGAUCGCGCCACUGCACUCCAGCCUGGGUGACAGAGCGAGACUAUCUCGGCGGGGGAAGAAAGCUUUGUUAUGUAGUGUUCUAUUUUUCAUUUGUACUAUUUAUUUUCUUUCUUUUUUUUUUUUUUUUUUUGAGACGGAGUCUUGCUCUGUUGCCCAGGCUGGAGUACAGUGGCGCAAUCUCGGCUCACUGCAAGCUCCGCCUCCCGGGUUCAUGCCAUUCUCCUGCCUCAG